GCUCUGGUGGCUAAGUUGGUAAGGCGCCACACUAGUAUUCGCAAUACGAGAUAUGGAGAUCCUCGGUUCAACUCCGAGUCAGAGCA